GUGCGGCCGAGGCGGGCGGAAUUCGUGGUGUAGCGGUGAAAUGCUUAGAUAUCACGAAGAACUCCGAUUGCGAAGGCAGCCCGCCAGCCCGCUACUGACGUUGAGGCUCGAAGGUGCGGGUAUCGAACAGGAUUAGAUACCCUGGUAGUCCGCACGGUAAACGAUGGACACCCGCCGUGGGCGACAUACAGUCCGCGGCCAAGCGAAAGCGUUAAGUGUCCCGCCUGGGGAGUACGCCGGCAACGGUGAAACUCAAAGGAAUUGACGGGGGCCCGCACAAGCGGAGGAACAUGUGGUUUAAUUCGAUGAUACGCGAGGAACCUUACCCGGGCUCGAACCUCCCCCGAAUCCGGCGGAGACGCCGGAGCCAGCAAUGGCGGGGGCGGAGGUGCUGCAUGGUUGUCGUCAGCUCGUGCCGUGAGGUGUCGGCUUAAGUGCCAUAACGAGCGCAACCCCUCCCUCCAGUUGCCAUCGGGUAAUGCCGGGGACUCUGGAGGCACUGCCAUCGCAAGAUGCGAGGAAGGCGGGGAUGACGUCAAAUCAGCACGGCCCUUACGUCCGGGGCUACACACGUGUUACAAUGGGGGGUACAGAGGGCCGCUGCACGGCGACGUUCGGCCAAUCCCUAAAUCCCCUCCCAGUUCGGACCGGAGUCUGGAACCCGACUCCGCGAAGCUGGAUUCGCUAGUAAUCGCGCAUCAGCCAUGGCGCGGUGAAUACGUUCCCGGGCCUUGUACACACCGCCCGUCAAGCCAUGAAAGCCGGGNGNNNNNNNAGUGCGCUUCCGCGAGGGGCGCCCUAGGGUAAAACCGGUGAUUGGGGCUAAAUGGGAACAAGGUAGCCGUAA
rnacentral:rRNA from 1 species